GAUGAAGAACGUAGCGAAAUGCGAUAAGUAAUGUGAAUUGCAGAAUUCAGUGAAUCAUCGAAUCUUUGAACGCACAUUGCGCCCGCCAGUAUUCUGGCGGGCAUGCCUGUUCGAGCGUCAUUUCAACCAUCAAGCCCUGCUUGCGUUGGGGUCCUGCGGCUGCCCGCAGGCCCUGAAAACCAGUGGCGGGCUCGCUAGUCACACCGAGCGCAGUAAUACAUCUCGCUUUGGGCGUGCGGCGGGUUCUUGCCGUUAAACACCCCCUUUUUACCAAGGUUGACCUCGGAUCAGGUAGGAAUACCCGCUGAACUUAAGCAUAUCAAUAAGCGGAGGU
rnacentral:misc_RNA from 1 species